rnacentral:SRP_RNA from 1 species
GCCAGGCGCGGUGGUGCAUGCCUGUAGUCCCAGCUACUGGGGAGGCUGAGGCUGGAGGAUCUCUUGAGCCCAGGAGUUCUGGGCUGCAGCGUGCUAUGCUGAUCGGGUGUCCGCACUGAGUUCGGCAUCAAUAUGGUGACCUGCCGGGAGCGGGGGACCACCAGGUUGCCUAAGGAGGGAUGAUCCAGCCCAGGUCAGAAACGGAGCAGGUCAAAACUCCCAUGCUGAUCGGUAGUGGGAUCGCGCCUGUGAAUAGCCACUGCACUCCAUCCUGGGCAACAUAGCGAGACCUUGUCUCUA